rnacentral:rRNA from 1 species
GACGAACGCUGGCGGCGUGCCUAAUACAUGCAAGUUGAGCGCUGAAGCUUGGUACUUGUACCAACUGCAUGAGCAGCGAACGGGUGAGUAACGCGUGGGGAAUCUGCCUUUGAGCGUGGGACAACAUUGGGAAACGAAAGCUAAUACCGGAUAAAAAUUUUAAACACAAGUUUUAAUUUUGAAAGAUGCAAUUGCAUCACUCAAACAUGAUACCGCAUUGUAUUAACUAGUUGGUUAGGUAAAGGCCCAUCAAGGGGAUGUAACAUAACCCACCUGAGAGGGUGAUCUGCCACGAUGGGAACGAGAAAACGCCCAAAGUCCUACGGGAGGGAGAAGUAGGGAAAUUUCAGCAAAGGACGCAAGUCUGACCGAACAACGCCGCGUGAGGGAAGAAGGGUUUCGGAUCGUAAAACUCUGUUGGUAGGGAAGAACGUUAGUGAGAAGGGAAAGCUCACUAAGUGACGGUAACUACUCAGAAAGGGACGGCUAACUACGUG